AUUCUCUUCUUAAAAGAGAAGCCAUAUUUCCUUCCAGAACCAUUAUCACCUUGAACAUUUCCCAGAAUCAAAGGGGGAAAGCAUAGCAACUGGAAAGGGAUGAUGAGAAGAUGCAAUAUGAUGACACAUCCAAAAGCUCACAGUGAGAUGCCUGGUAUACAGGAACUGCUGAACAAUGGAAUGUGGAUGUGAGAGGAGGAAUUCAAGCAGCCUUUUUGAACUAUGAGGAACAGAACUGAUGAGCAGCAAGAUAGAAAGAAGCUAAGACUCUGGAGAUUUGAAAGGACACACUAGCAGCCUAGAUUGCCUAUCCCAGAGCUUUCUUUUACAAAAGAGAUAGACAGGCUUUGACCUUAAGAAAAGUAUGUUAUUCUUCACUUGCAACUAAACCUAAAGUUAGUAUGUUUAAUGAAAGAGGCCCAGAAUCCUAGGUGGCAUUUUGGACAAAAGAGUUUCCCAAACAUUAAGAUGAGCUAACAGGAGUAGAGGGAGAUUAGCAGCUCAGGGAAGUGCCCACCAUGGUGCCUUGUAUAUAUCUGAGAUCAGGAGUCAUCAGCUACCUUGUUGGCAGUGUCGGGAAAGUAAGUCAGUGCCUCAACCCUGGAUCUUUAAAACGCUUCAUACAAAGCCUGGAUCCAAUCUCCACUUUUUAUGUGUACACCUU